UACGUAGGGAGCAAGCGUUGUCCGGAAUCAUUGGGCGUAAAGCGCGCGUAGGUGGCUUCGUAAGUCCGUUGUGAAAGUCAAAGGCUCAACCUUUGAAAGCCGAUGGAUACUGCGGAGCUAGAGUACGGAAGAGGCAAGUGGAAUUCCUGGUGUAGCGGUGGAAUGCGCAGAUAUCAGGAGGAACACCUAUAGCGAAGGCAGCUUGCUGGGACGUUACUGACGCUAAGGCGCGAAAGCGUGGGGAGCGACCAGG
rnacentral:rRNA from 1 species